CUCUUAUCUAUCAAAUUCUAUGCUUCUUCUGCAGUUCAGAUGACCUCAAGCACCACUUGCUGGACUUUCCAACAAGAGCUCUGCAAGCAUCAUGCACAAAGACAGAUAUUCCUAUGAUGCUGCUUAUAGUGGGAGACAGAGGGAUGUAGCAGCUCCUGCCACAUGGACUGCCCCAGAUGUUUCUGAAGAUCUGUCUAAGUGUUAAUAUUCUUUGGCAAAGGUGUCCCAGGACAGCCUUCAGCUCCCAGCAGCACUGCAGCUACACAGAGCUGGCACUGAGUUCACAGACACCAGUUAUGGAAGAUCAUUGAUUCCAGGGAACAUCCAAAGCUGGCAGUCAGCUGUGCCCAGGUUGGUCUCUGCUCAGCCUUUCCCUCCUUCAGAGCAGUUCUUUAGGUUUCUGGUUAAAAAUGCCUGCACGUGGGAGACAAGACCCUUGGUCAAUAGUGAUUAUUACAGCUUUCUCAGCACAGCUGAAUGAAGCUUAGUGUUUUUGAUCUGGA
rnacentral:lncRNA from 1 species